CCCCCGCCGCCGCCUCCACCAGUUACUUCAUCCUCUCGCACCCGUGUGUCAAAAAUCGUAUCUCAAAAAGUCACACCAUCACUAGAAUCGCGUGCAUCAAGAACCAACACCGCUCAAGUGGCAGCGUUGACAUCCCAUCAAGCUCCCAAAAUGGUUAAGACAGGAAACUCCAGCAGAGUGGAAGAGAAUGACGAAAGCGGCAAUGCAUCACCCUUGAUUCCAAUCCCGCCUCCACCUCCGCCGCCGCCUUUCAAAAUAAAGUCGUGGAAGUUUGUGCGCGAUGGCGACUAUGUUAGAGUGGCAAGUUUUAACAGUUCGCGAAGUGGAUCUCCAG
rnacentral:misc_RNA from 1 species